UGGACUAGCCUACUACCUAAGGAACUCUC
rnacentral:piRNA from 1 species